GGGACUACAUUUCACACAGGGAAAAUGAUAGCUUUGCUUCAACUUGUUUUCUUUUCAGCAGCCUUUGGAGGUGUCCAGUCAGAGGUCCAGCUGGUUGAGUCUGGAGGGGAUGUGAAAAGGCCAGGGGAGUCCCUCCGCCUCUCCUGUCGAGCCUCUGGGUUCACUUUCAACAGCAAAUGGAUGCACUGGGGAAGACAGGCUCAGGGAAAGGGCCUGGAAUGGGUUGCAAGUAUAAAUGCAGGUUCAUCUGACAUUCGCUACUUGGAUAAAGUGAAGGGACGAUUCACCAUCUCCAGGGACAAUUCCAACAGCCUCCUCCAUCUGCAAAUGAACAGCCUUAAACCUGAGGACACGGCUGUGUAUUACUGUGGAGGAGAGAUACACAGUGAGAGGAAGUGA